UACGAAGGGGGCUAGCGUUGUUCGGAUUUACUGGGCGUAAAGCGCACGUAGGCGGAUCGUUAAGUCGGGGGUGAAAUCCUGGAGCUCAACUCCAGAACUGCCUUCGAUACUGGCGAUCUUGAGUCCGGAAGAGGUGAGUGGAACUCCUAGUGUAGAGGUGGAAUUCGUAGAUAUUAGGAAGAACACCAGUGGCGAAAGGCGGCUCACUGGUCCGGUACUGACGCUGAGGUGCGAAAGCGUGGGAGCAAACAGG
rnacentral:rRNA from 1 species